rnacentral:rRNA from 1 species
UAGAGUUUGAUCCUGGCUCAGAUUGAACGCUGGCGGUAUGCUUAACACAUGCAAGUCGAACGGUAACGGUCCUUCGGGAGCCGACGAGUGGCGGACGGGUGUGUAACGCGUAGGAAUCUGCCUGGUAGUGGGGGACAACUCGGAGAAAUCCGAGCUAAUACCGCAUACGCCCUGAGGGGGAAAGCGGGGGAUCUUCGGACCUCGCGCUAUCAGAUGAGCCUGCGUUGGAUUAGCUAGUUGGUGGGGUAAAGGCCUACCAAGGCGACGAUCCAUAGCUGGUCUGAGAGGACGAUCAGCCACACUGGGACUGAGACACGGCCCAGACUCCUACGGGAGGCAGCAGUGGGGAAUAUUGGACAAUGGGCGCAAGCCUGAUCCAGCAAUACCGCGUGUGUGAAGAAGGCCUGAGGGUUGUAAAGCACUUUCAAUAGGGAGGAAAAAGCGUUGGUUAAUAGCCGAUGCCUUGACAUUACCUAUAGAAGAAGCACCGGCUAACUCCGUGCCAGCAGCCGCGGUAAUACGGAGGGUGCGAGCGUUAAUCGGAAUUACUGGGCGUAAAGCGUGCGUAGGCGGUUAUUUAAGUCAGAUGUGAAAGCCCCGGGCUUAACCUGGGAACGGCAUUUGAUACUGGGUAACUUGAGUUUAGGAGAGGAGAGUGGAAUUUCCGGUGUAGCGGUGAAAUGCGUAGAGAUCGGAAGGAACACCAGUGGCGAAGGCGGCUCUCUGGCCUAAAACUGACGCUGAGGUACGAAAGCGUGGGUAGCAAACAGGAUUAGAUACCCUGUAGUCCACGCCGUAAACGAUGUCAACUAGCCGUUGGGGUCUUUAUUAAGACUUAGUGGUGCAGCUAACGCAUUAAGUUGACCGCCCUGGGGGGGUACGGGC